GCUGGGCGUGGUGGCGUGUGCCUGUAGUCCCAGCUACUCAGGAGGCUGAGGCAGGAGAAUCGCUUGAACCUGGGAGGCGGAGGUUGCAGUGAGCUGAGAUCAUGCCACUGCACUCCCGCCUGGGCGACAGAGCGAGACUCCGUCUCAA
rnacentral:SRP_RNA from 1 species